rnacentral:rRNA from 1 species
AUUGAACGCUGGCGGCAGGCCUAACACAUGCAAGUCGAACGAGUGGCGGACGGGUGAGUAAUGUCUGGGAAACUGCCUGAUGGAGGGGGAUAACUACUGGAAACGGUAGCUAAUACCGCAUACCAUCAGAUGUGCCCAGAUGGGAUUAGCUAGUUGGUGGGGUAACGGCUCACCAAGGCGACGAUCCCUAGCUGGUCUGAGAGGAUGGACAGCCAAACGGGGACUGGGACACGGUCCAGACUCCUACGGGAGGCAGCAGGGGGGAAUAUUGGACAAUGGGUGCAAGCCUGAUUCAGCCAUGCCGGGUGUAUGAAGAAGGCCUUCGGGUUUUAAAAGACUUUCAGCGGGGAGGCGUUACCCGCAGAAGAAGCACCGGCUAACUCCGUGCCAGCAGCCGCGGUAAUUC